rnacentral:rRNA from 1 species
ACUCAAAUGAAUAGACGGGGGCCCGCACAAGCAGUGGAGUAUGUGGUUUAAUUCGAAGCAACGCGAAGAACCUUACCAGGGCUUGACAUCCCGCUAACGAAGUAGAAAUACAUUAGGUGCCCUUUUGGGAAAGCGGAGACAGGUGGUGCAUGGUUGUCGUCAGCUCGUGUCGUGAGAUGUUGGGUUAAGUCCCGCAACGAGCGCAACCCUUAUUGUUAGUUGCUACGCAAGAGCACUCUAGCAAGACUGCCGUUGACAAAACGGAGGAAGGUGGGGACGACGUCAAAUCAUCAUGCCCCUUAUGUCCUGGGCUACACACGUACUACAAUGGUGGCAACAACGGGAAGCAAUACAGCGAUGUGGAGCAAAUCCCCAAAAGCCAUCUCAGUUCAGAUUGCAGGCUGCAACUCGCCUGCAUGAAGGCGGAAUUGCUAGUAAUCGCGGAUCAGCAUGCCGCGGUGAAUACGUUCCCGGGCCUUGUACACACCGCCCGU